CGCACCUUGCGCUCUCUGGUAUUCCGGAGAGCAUGCCUGUUUGAGUGUCAUGAACUCUUCAACCCACCGGUUCCUUGUUGGACCGCCGUGGUGUUUGGAUUUUGAACGCCUGCUAGUCGACAGACUUAGCUCGUUCGUAAUACAUUAGCAUCUCAAUUUCGUAAUCGGAUUGACUCAGCGUAAUAGACUAUUCGCUGAGGACACAAUUUAGUUUGUGGCCGAGAAUGAAUGAGUAUUAGAAGCUUCCAAUCCCUCUAGUCACCUUUAGAUUAGACCUCAGAUCAGGCAGGAUUACCCGCUGAACUUAA
rnacentral:misc_RNA from 1 species